CCUAAAACCAAAACUUUUCAUUUUGAAAAUGUCAAAACAGGCCAUUUUGAUAUUUUCAAAACUUUUUCUUUCACAAUUUUUCAAAUUGGGAGAGUUAGCAAAAUUGAACCUGUCCCAUGAAUAGUAUCAGUUUUGUGAAAUCAGUAUUUUACAACAAAAAAAAGUUUUAUUGGAAAAUUUGGAAUGAGCUCUACUGUUAAUGCUUCUAAAGCAUAACAAUUCUAGUAAAAGAACUCUCAUUCAUUAUAGAAGGCCCCAACCUUCUUAUGACCCUAAAUAACACUGUCUAUGAAUCUUCUUGUCUAAACUGUCAGUGGUAAUCCCCAUGUCUAUCAUUAAAUAAGUGUGUGUUUCAGUAUUCCAAGAAUUAGUUGUGCAUUGUUCAGCCAGAUGGAUGCACAUUUUUUUCUUCCUCCACCUCCACACAUACCAUUCAAGUGCUGAGAGUGGUUUGGAAUGCUCUGUUGGUUCAAAACACCUAGUUAUUUUUCCUUCCAUUUGUGAUAUGUGGAAAGACUCAUUUAUUUUGUAUAUAGUAACUGAGGCUGGUCGGAAAAUGGUUUCAAUUUGUAAAAGCAGCUGCGAUGUUUCAUGAGAUUUGUAGUUCAGGUUCCUCAUGCUUCCUUUCUCCUUUAUAUACCAGGCUGCCUGAUCAUCUCCCACGAGGCACCACAUUUUGGUGUGGAGAGUCUUGGUGUGGAGAGGCAGUGCAUUGUGGGAGUAACAUGUCCAUGAUGCAUCAGAGGAGAUGAAGUUGGGCUGAGGAGUCAGGCACACAAAGGAGAAUGGAGACAUAAGGUUCUGACCAACUCUACACUGGAGGUGGGUUCUUUUCAGUGGCAGGUAACAUGAUUCCAGAAUACUGUUUGGUAAGGCCCUGUGGAAUACCUCAGGAUGAAAGUUAAAACAUAAAUACAGCAAAAUCCUGGCUAAGCUCACCAAGAGUGUGCCAGGAUAGAGGAAAGGUGGAGCAGUCAUCGAGCCAUUGACUCAAACCCCCUUGAGGCCAUGGGGUUGUGUGGAGGUAUAUCAGCCAGCCCCUUCCUAAAAUUCAAGAGUCUAUCCUCCUUCACUCCUGAACAGGGGAAGAGGGACAAAGAGGCUCCCUAGACCCUCCCAGCGCCAUCAUGCAAUGCAUUGCAUGGAUUUUACACACUAGCAAGAGUCAUUCAGCAGUAACACUCUAAAGAAGGACUGCUCAUGCACACUGUAGGACAAGUAUGCACGAUUUUCUGUAUUGGAUAGGGCCUGGGUGGCCAACCUGAGCCUGAGAAAGGGCCAGAAUUUACCAAUGUGCAUUGCCAAAGAGUCACAGUAAUAUAUAAUGAUUAUAUAUGUAUAUCUAUAUGUUUGUGUGUGUGUGUGUGUCUGUGUGUGUGUGUAUGGGACUUCUGGCAAUCUUUGCUUUCAACAAUUCCCUUGAAGUCUGGCUGUCUUAAGUGGCUGUCUCUCAGAACAGAUCGGUGCUUGGAUUUCACAUGUUUGAUUGUCGAGACAAACUUACAAAGAUAGGUCAAGUCAAACAUUGAGAUUAAUUUUAGAGCUGCACCUCUGAUGUUGGGGUAUUUAUCCUUUAAUACAGGUUUUCAGAAAGUAAGGGUCUCCCUGUGUCUUCUGACCAGAUUUCAAACAAGCUUCUGUACUCCUCCCCAAUGAGGGCAGUAGUGCUGAAAUUGACAUUGCUGGUUCGAAUUAGGGUUAGUGUGGACACAAUUCAAUGUUAUUGGCCUCCGGGAGCUAUCACACAGUGAACCA